rnacentral:rRNA from 1 species
UAGGGAAUCUUCGGCAAUGGGGGGAACCCUGACCGAGCAACGCCGCGUGAGUGAAGAAGGUUUUCGGAUCGUAAAGCUCUGUUGUUAAGGAAGAACGUGUGUGAGAGUGGAAAGUUCACACAGUGACGGUACUUAACCAGAAAGGGACGGCUAACUACGUGCCAGCAGCCGCGGUAAUACGUAGGUCCCGAGCGUUGUCCGGAUUUAUUGGGCGUAAAGCGAGCGCAGGCGGUUAGAUAAGUCUGAAGUGAAAGGCAGUGGCUCAACCAUUGUAGGCUUUGGAAACUGUUUAACUUGAGUGCAGAAGGGGAGAGUGGAAUUCCAUGUGUAGCGGUGAAAUGCGUAGAUAUAUGGAGGAACACCGGUGGCGAAAGCGGCUCUCUGGUCUGUAACUGACGCUGAGGCUCGAAAGCGUGGGGAGCGAACAGGAUUAGAUACCCUGGUAGUCCACCCCGUAAACGAUGAGUGCUAGGUGUUAGGUCCUUUCCGGGACUUAGUGCCGCAGCUAACGCAUUAAGCACUCCGCCUGGGGAGUACGACCGCAAGGUUG